CUUUCAGUUUCUCACCACAGGUGGAAUGUCAAUGCUAACGCCAACGGUGCAGUCCCACCGAAGCUGAACAUUUCUGGCUGCACAAGUUGGCGUAUCUGAUAAGGCUACAAGUAUUCGCUGAGUUGGCUGAAGAUCCGGGGCCACUUUCAAGUCACGCCCACAUCCCCACACCUUGUCAAAGCCAAAAGGCGGUCCGUAACGCAUUCUUAGUCUCCUCCCGCUCGGCCGGCCCGACUGCGGCCGGCACCUUGAAUGUUUCAAUGAAGAAGAGCUGCGUGCCACAUGGGCUCCACCGCUCCAGACGUUGAGCUGCCCAAGUUAUCAAUUGUCCUGAAAAUGAAUUCCCAGUCUUUCCGGCAACAGUGAUGGUUGGAUCAGAACCAGGCUCUAGUGCAUCCAUGACACCGUUGGCAAGCAGAUAUUUUCCAGCUUCCUCCAGUCCGGUGGCUCCAUGAUGGUGGGAAAAGGAAGCACCCCCUAGUUCCCGCUCUCUACGCUAACGUCUUCCCCGUCUGGAUUGCAUAUUCUUUCCACUGCGGUCGGCCUCCCGGGUCCAAGCAGAACCAGACCACCCCUCCCCAACCCAACGACGGCCAUGACGCGGUGGCUGACCGAAUCACACUUUCCAACCACUUCCUUCUUCCCUCCCGUUUGUCUUUCAUCAGACGCUGCGUUCGGUCGGCUCUGCCAGGCAAAACACGCUGCUGAUGCUGAUGCUGAUGAAGGGGAGGACGGCCGAUGUGCUCGAGAUGGAACAGCCACGUGACUUCAACUUUUUGGACGCUCGUGGACACCGUACAAAGAAGCCGAGUUUGGACAAUUUACAGAGCAGAUGAGAAGAAGGUCAGUGAAUAUCUCCAACCCCCUGCCUAAAACUCAAUCAAGCUAGCCAAUCCCUAAAUCCGAGCCAAAGCUAAAGCCUUCACUUUGAUGACACACUUUUUCCCUGGCUGGGACUCUAACGUCGUCACCCAGCCUCCGUUAUCGCUGAUACGGACGGACCCAGACGCUGACGCAUCCCCGCAGCUGCUUUGUGGGGGGAAAAAGCGUGUUCACGGGCACAGAACAGGAACAAGCGCUCUGGAGUCUGACGGGAUGCAUUUGGACGUGUUGCGGUGGCACAUGCACAGCCUUCUUUAAUCGUUAGCAGCUGAUGGAGGCAUAAAAAGGGCCUUCUUCGAGACAGGCUUGGAGAGAGAGAGAGAGAGAGAGAGAGAGAGAGAGAGAGAGAGAGAAAGAGCUCCAACACGUUGCAGUUGCGAAACACUUUGGAAACAGGCGAUUUCAAGGUGUUGUAUAUCAGCUCAAGUGCCAUGAGCUCAUCCUCAUGGAAAUGGGGAUCAUGAUUUGAGGCGCGGGGUGGGGGGUCUCCAGCAACAAGCUUUCCAAUGACAAGCUGAGUCAGCAGGUAAUGGCAUAGUGUUGCCUUCUUGUUGGAGCUCAUUUCUUGACUUCCCCUCAACCAAAGGCAAAGCCUCCAAAUCUUCUACCUCUCUCUGAUCCUGUUGCGCUUCCAACAAAAAUAGGUUCAUUUGGACUCAUUUCCAUCAGCCAACCCAAAGCCAACAUUGCACAGUAUGCAUUGAGAUAUUUAUGAUGAUUAUUGCAUCUUAAAUCUCGCAUGAUGUUCUCCUAGCUCAUCUCCUGGCGGCAGCUCCAAGCCAGAAUCCGUCCACAUUGGAGAAGAAGUCAACUUUUUUUUCUGCUGUUGGGAGGAAAGCCCUCCGGGGGGGGGGGGGGGUCUUUUCAGACUCAAGUGUUUGAGGGUGGGUAAGUGAUUCAUGAAGAAUGGGCUCAUACAUAGGAAGAGUGUAGAUUGGACGAGGAAGAAGACGAUGAGUCAGCAGGAUGACGACAGAGGUCCGUGCAGGUCCGCGGGGCCCGCAGGAGAGCCCGGCACAGCUCAUCACGCCAAGAACAUCCCCGGCACACGUGUCCGACGCAGCUUUGGCCCUUUUUUAUUUAUAUAUACAUUUUUUUGUUUGCGGGUGAGAAUGGAAACCAGACGGUGAAAAGAAAGUGAGAGGUCGCCCGGAAUGUUUGUUUGUUUCAACAUAGAAGACAAACAUCUGGCAAACACAUUCCGUCAUCCAGCCCCCUCUUCGCCAAGCCUCCCCUCUGUUACCUCCUCGCCCCCCUCCUCUGGAAAUUGAAGCUCUUUAACUUUUUUUUCUCUCUUUAAUUCCGUUGAGUGUACUCGCAUGGGAAAGACGUUGAACACAAAGUCUCAUUGUUCCAAUCUUUUUUUUACUCAAAAAAUAAAUGACGGGAUUUCACAUGCUUCAGGAAAGAAAGUAUUGCAUCCUAGUGGUGAGGUGGAGAAACA